rnacentral:rRNA from 1 species
CAAUAGCGUAUAUUAAAGCUGUUGCGGUUAAAAAGCUCGUAGUUGGAUUUCUGUCAAGUACAACUGGUCCGCCCUCCGGGUGAGCACAUAGUUUGGUCUUGGCAUCUUGCUGGAAAUUGUUGCUGCACUUGGCUGUGUGGCGCAGUGUCCAGCACUUUCACUUUGAGGAAAUUGGAGUGUUUCAAGCAGGCAAUGCCUUUGAACACAGUAGCAUGGAAUAAUUAGAUUGGGCUUUUGCUCCAAUUUGUCGGUUUCUGGAGCUGAGGUGAGAAUUAAUGGGGAUUGUUGGGGGCAUCCGAAUUUAGCCGUCAGAGGUGAAAUUCUUGGAUCUGCUAAAGACGGACGACUGCGAAAGCGUUUGCCCAGGAUGUUUUCAUUG